rnacentral:rRNA from 1 species
AGGCGCGAAAACUUUACAAUGCAGGAAACAGCGAUAAGGGAACGUCGAGUGCCAGCAUCCAAAUUUGGCUGUCCCGAUGCCUAAAAAACACUGCGUAGCAAGGGCCGGGCAAGACCGGUGCCAGCCGCCGCGGUAACACCGGCGGCUCGAGUGGUGACCGUUAUUAUUGGGUCUAAAGGGUUCGUAGCCGGCUUGGUCAGUCUUCUUGGGAAAUCUGGCAGCUUAACUGUCAGGGCUUCAGGGAGAU